rnacentral:tRNA from 1 species
AGUCUCUUAAGUUAUUUAAACUGUUGGAUUUCAAAUCCGGAAAUAUGAGGGAAUCUCUUAGAGUCUG